UACAGAGGGUGCAAGCGUUGUUCGGAAUUAUUGGGCGUAAAGCGCGUGUAGGCGGCUUUGCAAGUCGGGUGUGAAAGCCCUCAGCUCAACUGAGGAAGUGCGCCCGAAACUGCAUAGCUUGAGUACCGGAGAGGAUGGUGGAAUUCCCGAAGUAGAGGUGAAAUUCGUAGAUAUCGGGAGGAACACCGGUGGCGAAGGCGACCAUCUGGACGGAUACUGACGCUGAGACGCGAAAGCGUGGGUAGCAAACAGG
rnacentral:rRNA from 1 species